UACGUAGGGUGCAAGCGUUAAUCGGAAUUCCUGGGCGUAAAGCGUGCGCAGGCGGUUUUGUAAGUCAGAUGUGAAAUCCCCGGGCUUAACCUGGGAACUGCGUUUGAAACUACAAGGCUAGAGUGUGGCAGAGGGGGGUGGAAUUCCACGUGUAGCAGUGAAAUGCGUAGAGAUGUGGAGGAACACCGAUGGCGAAGGCAGCCCCCUGGGUUAACACUGACGCUCAGGCACGAAAGCGUGGGGAGCAAAACGG
rnacentral:rRNA from 1 species